UAGGGAAUCUUCGGCAAUGGGGGCAACCCUGAUCGAGCAACGCCGCGUGAGUGAAGAAGGUUUUCGGAUCGUAAAGCUCUGUUGUAAGAGAAGAACGUGUGUGAGAGUGGAAAGUUCACACAGUGACGGUAACUUACCAGAAAGGGACGGCUAACUACGUGCCAG
rnacentral:rRNA from 1 species